GACGGAGGGUGCGAGCGUUGUCCGGAAUCAUUGGGCGUAAAGGGCGCGUAGGUGGCCCGGUCAGUCGAUGGUGAAAGCGCGGGGCUCAACUCCGCGUCGGCCGUCGAUACUGCUGGGCUUGAGCACUGUAGAGGCAGGCGGAAUUCCGGGUGUAGCGGUGGAAUGCGUAGAGAUCCGGAAGAACACCGGUGGCGAAGGCGGCCUGCUGGGCAGUGGCUGACACUGAGGCGCGACAGCGUGGGGAGCAAACAGG
rnacentral:rRNA from 1 species